UACAGAGGGGGCAAGCGUUGUUCGGAAUUACUGGGCGUAAAGGGCGCGUAGGCGGCCCGCUAAGUCGAACGUGAAAUCCCCGGGCUCAACCCGGGAACUGCGUCCGAUACUGGCAGGCUUGAAUCCGGGAGAGGGAUGCGGAAUUCCAGGUGUAGCGGUGAAAUGCGUAGAUAUCAAGAGGAACACCUGAGGUGAAGACGGGUUGCUGGGCUGAUACUGACGCUGAGGCGCGAAAGCCAGGGGAGCAAACGGG
rnacentral:rRNA from 1 species